GGAGGGAUGGCCGAGCGGUUAAGGCGCUACGUUAAGGCUCAGCCUUAUGCACAUAUCCGUAGUUCGAAAGGUACAUUGAUUCGUGACCAUCACAGCGAGAGAAAGUAUCUAACAGACAUCCAGAGCGUGGGUUCGAGUCCCACUCCCUUCA
rnacentral:tRNA from 1 species